CGAACGGGUGAGUAAUACAUCGGAACGUGCCCGAUCGUGGGGGAUAACGGAGCGAAAGCUUUGCUAAUACCGCAUACGAUCUACGGAUGAAAGCAGGGGACCGCAAGGCCUUGCGCGGACGGAGCGGCCGAUGGCAGAUUAGGUAGUUGGUGGGAUAAAAGCUUACCAAGCCGACGAUCUGUAGCUGGUCUGAGAGGACGACCAGCCACACUGGGACUGAGACACGGCCCAG
rnacentral:rRNA from 1 species